rnacentral:rRNA from 1 species
AGCCCCCUGCAAUUAAUUACAUAGGGGGUGCAGCCUGCCCAGUGGAAUUUUAUAUCUAAACGGCCGCGGUAUCUUGACCGUGCAAAGGUAGCAUAAUCACUUGUCUCUUAAAUGGGGACCUGUAUGAAUGGCUUCACAUCUUCAAACUGUCUCCCUUUUCUCCCUCAUAAACUUCUACACACGUGAAAAAGCGUGUAAAAGUAAGAAAGACGAGAAGACCCUGUCGAGCUUUAGUCAACACCGAAACAACUAAAACUCUUAGAGAAUCAUAACCAUUUCGGCAUAGACUUUGGUUGGGGCAACCGUGGAGAAAAACAAACCUCCAGACAAUUUAGACAGAAAUCUCUUCUUCUUAAAAUUUUUAAACGAACCAGUUCUUUUCUGGGAAACGGAAAAAGUUACCGCAGGGAUAACAGCGUUAUCUCCUCUAAGAGCUCAUAUUGACGAGGAGGUUUGCGACCUCGAUGUUGGAUUGGGGUAACCUAAGGGUGCAGCAGCUCUUAAUGGUUGGACUGUUCGUCCAUUAAUCCCCUACA